UCUUUGAUUUAACCUUUUUGCGCUUCUUCACCUUGAAACUAAAUUUCGGAGGUGUAACUUUAGCGUUUGACAGCCUCACUAGUAAUAAUUGCAUUGCAACUGUGAGUGAUAGGUUGCAGCUGAUUGUUACGUCUGUUUGACUCUGAGCCAACUUUGUUGCAUUUCACAAUUCCAGUUUCGUUCUCACACAUGUCAGUAUAUUUUCAAUUCCUUUUGCUUAUAGAUAGUGGAAUAUAUAGAUGAGCGAAGAUAAAUCCUCUGUCUCCAAACGAGCUGUCAAACGUGUCUCCAAACGAGCAUGACGUCACGAUUUCAAUGGAAACGUUAAGGGCUGUGACGUCAUAUGCGCGUGUGCACGGGCAAAAAAAUCGACUCAGCCAUGCUUUCGCUCAUCUAUAGAUUCUACUAUCUAUACUUUUGCUGUAUUUAAAUGGUUCACUUCUCACAACUGUGUGAGAAUUCUAUAGAAUAAUCGAUGACUCACUCAAAAUCCAACAGUCACCUCUAUGUGCGCUGCUGCAAUAUAGCUUCUUUUAUUGUUCAACUUCAACCCGCCCAAUUAGAAUAUUGCUAGCUUAGUGUUCGAUUUAGUUCGCACUUUCAAAAACAUAAACCGCAACGUUUGUAAGCCAAAUUCAUAUUUUUUUUACAAUGCAUUUACAGCGGUAAGUUCGAACCCAGCCGCCUUUAGCGUGAUUCUGUUCUGUUAUCAUUCUUAGUGGCUGAGCCAAAAACAAAACUAAAACGGCCGUUUCCUAUAUAAGGGAAGCACCACACAGAAAAUUGCAUCAUUCACAUUAGCGUUGUGGAAUUAAUUAGAAGCAGUGUUAUUAUUCGAAGUUAUUCUCAGUGAACAUUUUGCAUCGAUAAAUAUGCCAAACAAAUCGGAUCAACAUGGGGCCGCUAUUCGCCAAGGCGUCCAGGCGAACCCCAACGCCAAGGGAGAGGCAAGAGCAGAAGUAGUUCGAACGGCCGUACAACAGGCGAACGCUCAAGGUCAAGGUAAAAAGUGAAUCAUUGAUCACAUUGUACCAAUUACUUGAAUAAAUGUGUUACCUUGAGUAAAAUAUAAUAA